AGGGUCACUCAUCACUUCACCCUACAGGGCAGAACAGUUAAGUACGUUAAAGCUUUGGUUCCUUACCUACCUCAAAGAGAUUUUCUGGCAUUGAUCAAUUUCUUCAUCUAAAAAGUGUCUUACAGGAACAGACCUGGAGAAUGUUGCUAGCAGCCUAUGUUACUUCAUCAUCCUCUCUGGAUUGCAAAGUUUUUAGACUGGAUCUUAAGUUGUGCCAUCAUUCCAUUUAUGUGUGGUUUUCAGGCUAUGUAGUAGCUGAGGAAAAAGAAGGAUGCCUUUGUUGAGUCAUGUCCAUGACAGCCAGGAUGAGGUUUGCUUAUGCCAAUGGAACAUGAUAAC
rnacentral:lncRNA from 1 species